GAUGAACGCUGGCGGCGUGCCUAAUACAUGCAAGUCGAGCGAACGGACGAGAAGCUUGCUUCUCUGAUGUUAGCGGCGGACGGGUGAGUAACACGUGGAUAACCUACCUAUAAGACUGGGAUAACUUCGGGAAACCGGAGCUAAUACCGGAUAAUAUUUUGAACCGCAUGGUUCAAAAGUGAAAGACGGUCUUGCUGUCACUUAUAGAUUGAUCCGCGCUGCAUUAGCUAGUUGGUAAGGUAACGGCUUACCAAGGCAACGAUGCAUAGCCGACCUGAGAGGGUGAUCGGCCACACUGGAACUGAGACACGGUCCAGACUCCUACGGGAGGCAGCAGUAGGGAAUCUUCCGCAAUGGGCGAAAGCCUGACGGAGCAACGCCGCGUGAGUGAUGAUGGUCUUCGGAUCGUAAAACUCUGUUAUUAGGGAAGAACAUAUGUGUAAGUAACUGUGCGCAUCUUGACGGUACCUAAUCAGAAAGCCACGGCUAACUACGUG
rnacentral:rRNA from 1 species